rnacentral:lncRNA from 1 species
UCUGAAAAACAUAUUGGAUGAAGAAAUGAAGUCCAAAUUAAAAUGAGGAAGUCCAGUCAGAUGACGAACUUGAACACAAAGAGCAAGCCAUUGAGCACUAGUUGGCCACAGAUGUGGAUUUAAGUUUUCUAGCUGCCAAAAUGUAAAGAGGGAAACACGAUCCUCUGCAGGACUCAACAGUAUCCCUGAGAUCGAAUCUGACAAACUGCUCAGAAGGGGCACCUAUGCUUUUCCCUGAGAUGAAUGUCUCCCAUCGUCAGAUGUCAGAUUCUGGAUCUAUUUUGACAAGAGAGCUCAAAGGAUUUCUUCACAGAUGGAAAUGAGGGGGCUGUGAACCCCUGAUAUCUGAGAGGUGUCUCAGUCAAUUUAGAAAGUUUAUUUUGCCAACGUUAAGGACCCGCCCAUGACAGCCUCAGGAGGUCCUGACGACACGUGCCCAAGGUGGUCAGGGCACAGCCUGCUUCCAUACAUUUUAGUGAGACAUGAAACAUCAAUCAUUUUAUGUAAGAUGUAAAGUGGUUCGGUCGGGGAAGGAUCUUGUGCUGUGAGAGGAUUUGACCUUGGCGUGUGUAAUGGUAGAUGAGAGCUACAAAAUUACAAGUGGCUGAAGACAGUUUACAGGAAAUGGUCAUAGCUGCCCCUCUCUUUUUUCCCCUCUUAGGAAGUUAUUGUUUAGGAUCCGAAUUCUAAUUUGGAGAUGCAUUCUACAGUGUCUUCUCCAUUGCUUUUCCUCCCCAAAUUAAUCUUGUUGUUUUGUGUGUGCAUCUGCGUGAAGAGCUGUACUGUUGUUUUCAUAGAUACAUGAGAGACUGUUUCCUGACCUCCAAAGGGAAAGGGCAUUUUGCUCUUCCCAGCAGAAAGGCACCCCUGGGUGACUUGGAGCCCAGUGGGAGUGUCUGGGGGUGUUGACCCCCGUGACAACCAGCAGCCCUACAGGGAACCUACAACAAAAUAGUUUUAAAAAGCUCAUCCAGGAAAUGCCUAUUAGAGCUGAUCACUUUGCUUUGACCCUCCCAUAGGUGCUAGACCUCCAGAGAGAGAAAAUGAGACACAUAAGGUGGAAAUUACUCUGUGGUGACACACUGUGGAGUCCUGCCCACAACCCGGAUACUUGGACCCACUCCACUGAAACCUUAGGCCACAGCUAAGUUCCUUCCUUCAAAAAAUAAAUCUAAGAAAGAGGAAAAACAGGAAUGACCUCCUUUCAGGCACUCUGUUGGUUUUAUGGCGCCUCUUCUUGCGAAUGUUUGUGUAAAAUUGACAUACUGUGGUCCUUUUCUGCACAAUUACGGCAAGGAAAAUUCAGAUCGCAAAGGUCCACCUUUCAUCUGCAUCUCAUUACCGGGUAGCAGGAAUAAGUAGGCUGACCCUCAGUUUGGACCGGGAACAGCUGUCGGACGUUACUGGGAGGAAUGAGGGCGAGGAAGAGAAAGACGUUAGUCCUCGGACCGUUUCCGAGAGUCAUCUCCGGGAGUAAUGCGAAGAUGGACACGCUCAGUCCUGCCUGUGCAUGCGCGUUCGCGUUGUACGGAAUUCCCAAGCCAGCUGCGUAGUUUCUGCCUUGAAGCUAUUUGGCGAGAAGUUUCGCCUGUUCCUUUACUUUGUGGGUCAGGGCUUGGGUGCUUGAGUGGGAGAAACAGAAAGCCAGCUAGCCCUGGAACCCCUUCUAAGAUCGUCAUCCACCCAGCCAUCCAUAAAUCUGUUCAUCCAUGAAACAAAUAAUCAUUGAGCACCCCUUAUAUGCCAGACACACGUAAGGAUGCAAGGGCCGCGUUCUCAUUCUAGUGGGUGGGGACAGAGAGUAAACAAAUUAUCUACUUAAUUUCAGAUAGUGGUAAGUGAUAGAAAAUAAAACGGGGUGAUAUUGUCAGAGGCGUUUGAACCAGAGCGACUCCAUUCCGAGUGAGGGCUAGGA